rnacentral:rRNA from 1 species
CCUACGGGUGGCAGCAGUGAGGAAUAUUGGUCAAUGGGCGGAAGCCUGAACCAGCCAAGUAGCGUGCAGGAUGACGGCCCUACGGUUUGUAAACUGCUUUUAUACGGGAAUAACCCGCCUUGCGUGUACGGCUUUUCAUUUACCUUUUGAUUAAGGUCCGGCUACUCCGGUCCCAGCAGCCGCGGGAAUACGGAAGGUCCGGGCGUUGUCCGGAUUUUUGGGGUUUAAGGGAAGGGUAGGCCGAAUGUCAAGCUUGCUGUGAAAUGUCCGGGCCCAACCGGGGACUUGCAGCGCGACCUGGCAGGCUGGAGUCCGGGAAAGGCAGGCGGAAUUCGUGGUGUAGCGGUGAAAUGCUUAGAUAUGACGAAGAACCCCGAUUGCGAAGGCAGCUUGCUGGAGCGGAACUGACGCUGAUGCUCGAAAGCGCGGGUAUCGAACAGGAUUAGAUACCCCAGUAGUC